rnacentral:misc_RNA from 1 species
GAUGAAGAACGUAGCGAAAUGCGAUAAGUAAUGUGAAUUGCAGAAUUCAGUGAAUCAUCGAAUCUUUGAACGCACAUUGCGCCCGCCAGUAUUCUGGCGGGCAUGCCUGUUCGAGCGUCAUUUCAACCCUCAAGACCCCUUCGGGGGACUUGGUGUUGGGGACCGGCACAGGGGCCUGCCUGCUUGUCUUGCAGCGCCCUCGCCGCCCCCGAAAUGAAUUGGCGGCCUCGUCGCGGCCUCCCCUGCGUAGUAGCACAACCUCGCAACGGGAACGUGACGGCGGCCACUGCCGUAAAACAACCCCAAUUUUAUUAGAGUUGACCUCGAAUCAGGUAGGAAUACCCGCUGAACUUAAGCAUAUAAUAAGCGGAGGA